ensembl:lncRNA
CAGAGAUUGGACAGUGACCGGAGAGACAGGAGACCCCAGCCCAGCCUGGUGACCCAGACAUGGGGCCACCUCCCCCUGCUCCUGAGGGACCAGCACCGAGUUAGAGGGGUCUGGGGAGAGAGCGGUCCUGGGGGUCCCACGGAGUGGAAGGGCAUCAGUGCCAGCUUGGAGAUGGGGGUGAGAGGAGACUGAAUCAGAGGGCCCUGACCACGUGGGGAGCCACAGCGAGAGGCGCCCCUGGCCCCCCAGGGACUUGUCCUGAUGGAAGGGUCUCACUCACUCCAGCCAGGUAGACCCCAGGCCACAGCAGGCUGGCACUGUCCUGAGAGGCCAGGGUCCGAGGUGCUUGGCUCCCCGAUGCCUUCUCCCUCCUACAGCUGGAACCUUCCCUGCUGACCUCAGGCAGGCGGGGUGGGAGGGAGCAUGAGCAGAGUCCUCCCCAAAGUGCAGGCCUGGCCGCCGCCUCCCACAGAGACUCAGGAUGGGAAGGCAGGGAACAGGGGACAUCAGAGCCCCUUCCUCAGAUUCAGAACACAGCCAGCUCCACUCCCCUUCACUCCUGCUCUGGGUGCAGGGAGGCACGAGGGUGUGAGAAGCCAGCUCUCCUGUCCUGCUCACCUCGCAGUCCCCCAGGGCUCUGAGCCAGGACCAGGACAGAGGGCUCCGAAGGGGGCCUCAGGCAUUGUUCUUUUGUCCUUUUUGUUGGGACCCGCUCUGCCUGUCCCUGCAGAGGAGUGACUGGAGGAGCAGGGGGAGGUGGGGAAGAGCCCAGGGCGCUGACGGCUGUGGUUGUCUGGUCACAUCCUCUUAGGUCUCCUCCGCAAGAGUCUCCAUCCCCACAAGGAAGGUUCUGGGGGGUGGCAUGAGGCUUUCUCUGCUCAUCUUCCCUCCCGCCCAAGCGCCUGGACCUGGUGGGUGCUCUGUAAAUCCGAAUGAACACACGGAUGAUGGAUGGAGGGAUGGAUGGACAGAGGAAGGGAACCCGAGAUCAACGAGUGAGUGCGCCUGUGUGAGGACAGACUCGCUCCUCCUUGAACCCUUCCUCUCCUACAGCCCUUCAGUUUCGUGACACAGACUUUACUAAAAGUUAUCCUUCAACACAACCAUAUCCUAAGCCAGACACUGAGAAAUCGUUCCCUCUGGAUCUACAUGACCAUCACAGGACCCUGCCUGCCCCCUCGGGGUGCGCUCCUAACAGCUUUGCCAUCAGGGCUGCUCAGGGGUGUCUGCCCACACCCUACCUGUGCCCAUCUGGGGGGGGGUGAGGGGGGCCUGCAAACCAGGCACUCUGGUAGGCAGGAGGGAAAUGCUACUCUCUCGGCUUUACAGAAGAGGAAACUGAGGCUCAGAGAGGCCUGAAGUCACUAAGCCCGAAAGUAGCAGAUGCAAGAUUUGAACCCAGACCUCAGAGCACCCUCGGGUACCCCAGCCUGCCAUCUGCUAUCCUCCGCUGAGGGCUAUGAAGCCGGAACCAGGCCCGGGGGGCAGCUCAGCCUGGGCCUGGAGGGUCGGGAGGAUAGGACCCCGCGGGAGGGGGAGGGGGAGAGUGGGGUGUUUCCUGCGGCUCGGGGGGCCCAGCCAACAUGCAGCCCGAAACCCAGGUCUCGGCCGCGGGAUGUGUGCAAGACCAGCCUCCUCCGGCGAAUGGAAAGAAACACAGCCUCUCUAUUUCCAUGGUUUAUCUCAUCCUUUGAAAAUCUCAACUUUUCUAAGUACAUAAUAUAUAAACCUAGUAAUAAAGUGCCUAUAGCUUGUAAAUAAAUAAAUCCACACGCACUGGAACACUUUCCUGAAAGGGAGAAAACCGCUCCCCCACCCCCACCCCCACCCCCAACCCCAGGGCCCCGGUAUAGCAGGUGCUCAAUCCACAUCCGCGGCUGAGGGCGUGCCCAGCCCCCAGCUGUGGUGGGGGGUGGGGUGGGGGGAGGGGCAGGCAGCAGGGAGGGGGUUCUUCCAGGGUUCCAGGGUCAGGAGACAGACCCCGCCAGCCCCCCGCCCCCACCCCGGGGCCCAGGCCCACCUGCACCCUCGGCAGGGCGUGGCUGCGCCGGUUCUGGUGCCCGCCUGGCGCGGCGCCACCUUCCGCGGGGUGGCCGCGAGGAUACCGGGAAGGGAGGCGGG